rnacentral:pre_miRNA from 1 species
AAUAAGUACAGUUUUAGCACUGUUCAUAUCCAACGUUUGAUCGUUCGUCUUAUUUGAAAAAAGAUGAUAAAACAUGAAUAGUACUUUAUGUGUGACUAAUUUUUUUAAAUAUUUUUCAUAAAUUUUUCAAAUAUGACGGAUGGUCAAAACGCUCAACACGCAUAUCUAUGGCUGCACUUAUU